UCCUCCCUCUGGCGGCGUGCUUAACACAUGCAAGUCGAACGGAAAGGCCUCUUUCGGGGGGUACUCGAGUGGCGAACGGGUGAGUAACACGUGAGUAACCUGCCCUUGACUUUGGGAUAACUUCAGGAAACUGGGGCUAAUACCGGAUAGGAGCUCCUGCUGCAUGGUGGGGGUUGGAAAGUUUCGGCGGUUGGGGAUGGACUCGCGGCUUAUCAGCUUGUUGGUGGGGUAGUGGCUUACCAAGGCUUUGACGGGUAGCCGGCCUGAGAGGGUGACCGGCCACAUUGGGACUGAGAUACGGCCCAGACUCCUACGGGAGGCAGCAGUGGGGAAUAUUGCACAAUGGGUGGAAGCCUGAUGCAGCAACGCCGUGUGCGGGAUGACGGCCUUCGGGUUGUAAACCGCUUUCGCUCAUGACGAAGCUUUGUGUGACGGUAGUGGGUAAAGAAGCACCGGCUAACUACGUG
rnacentral:rRNA from 1 species